CCUACGGGAGGCUGCAGUGGGGAAUAUUGGACAAUGGGGGCAACCCUGAUCCAGCCAUGCCGCGUGUGUGAAGAAGGCCCUCGGGUUGUAAAGCACUUUCAGUGAGGAAGAACGCCUGGUGGUUAAUACCCAGCAGGAAAGACAUCACUCACAGAAGAAGCACCGGCUAACUCCGUGCCAGCAGCCGCGGUAAUACGGAGGGUGCGAGCGUUAAUCGGAAUUACUGGGCGUAAAGCGCGCGUAGGUGGCUUGAUAAGCCGGUUGUGAAAGCCCCGGGCUCAACCUGGGAACGGCAUCCGGAACUGUCAAGCUAGAGUGCAGGAGAGGAAGGUAGAAUUCCCGGUGUAGCGGUGAAAUGCGUAGAGAUCGGGAGGAAUACCAGUGGCGAAGGCGGCCUUCUGGACUGACACUGACACUGAGGUGCGAAAGCGUGGGUAGCAAACAGGAUUAGAUACCCCAGUAGUC
rnacentral:rRNA from 1 species